GACGAACGCUGGCGGCGUGCUUAACGCAUGCAAGUCGAACGGAAAGGCCUCUUUCGGGGGGUACUCGAGUGGCGAACGGGUGAGUAACACGUGAGUAACCUGCCCUUGACUUUGGGAUAACUUCAGGAAACUGGGGCUAAUACCGGAUAGGAGCUCCUGCUGCAUGGUGGGGGUUGGAAAGUUUCGGCGGUUGGGGAUGGACUCGCGGCUUAUCAGCUUGUUGGUGGGGUAGUGGCUUACCAAGGCUUUGACGGGUAGCCGGCCUGAGAGGGUGACCGGCCACAUUGGGACUGAGAUACGGCCCAGACUCCUACGGGAGGCAGCAGUGGGGAAUAUUGCACAAUGGGUGGAAGCCUGAUGCAGCAACGCCGUGUGCGGGAUGACGGCCUUCGGGUUGUAAACCGCUUUCGCUCAUGACGAAGCUUUGUGUGACGGUAGUGGGUAAAGAAGCGCCGGCUAACUACGUG
rnacentral:rRNA from 1 species